AUGGAUCAAUAUCUUGCUCCAAUUGACCCUGUUGAUAAGGAGAGAAGCUAUAUAGUAGGGAAAUAUUUGGCUAGAUGGCUGUACAAGAAAAAUGUACCCUUCAAUGCUAUCAACGAUGAUGACUUCAAAAAAUUUUGUGAGGCUCUUGGUCGUUAUGGUCCAAAUUGGAGGCAACCUUCACAGUAUAUGAUUCGAGAGAAGAUGUUGUUGCAGGAGGUUGAAAGGACCAAAGAUUUGUUGAAGCCACAUGAUGUUGAGAGGGCAGAUACGGGGUUCUCUAUCAUGACCGAUGCUUGGACAAACAAGACAAGAAGGAGCAUUAUGAACUUGUGUGUGCAUUGCAAGUUAGGAACAAUCUUUCUUGGAUCGAAGGAGGCGUCGGCUGAUGCACACACAAGUCAAUACAUCUUCGAUUAUGUAGAUGACUGCAUUGAGAAAAUUGGUACUAAUCUCAACUUUUUAAUUUGCUCUCAUUCAUUCCUUUUCAAGUUUUCAUGUGGUUGUAUGCUGAAUGUUGUGAUUGUUUUGCAAUGGUGUUUUGUAGGGGCUGAUAAUGUUGUUCAAGUAGUCACGGAUAAUGCAUCAAACAAUAUGGGAGCUAAGGGGAUGUUGAAAAUUAAAAGGCCCAAGAUAUUUUGGACCUCAUGUGCAACUCAUACAAUUAACUUGAUGGUUAAAGCAAUUGGCAAGUUGAAGCAUUUUGGUCCUGCAACAACCAAAGCCAAGGAGAUGACAAUUUUCAUUUAUGCUCAUCAUGACACAUUGGCAUUGAUGAGAUCUUAUACAAAGAAGAGGGACAUUGUUAGGCCGGGAGUGACCAGAUUUUCUUCGGCAUUUCUUACAUUGCAAAGUCUCACUGCUAAGAGGAAGCAACUAACGGAGAUGUGCUGUAGUGACACUUGGGAAGAAUGCAAGCAGACCAGAACAAAGAAAGGAAAGGUGGCUCACGCCACAAUAAUGAGUAGGGCAAUCUGGAAAAAUGUGUCUCUUUGCAUCAAUGUAUUGUUAGAUGAACUACAAAUUGUGUCUUGUACUCUUCUUUAA
rnacentral:rRNA from 1 species